ensembl:lncRNA
CCCAACAUCAAGGAGGGAGACCUAGUGCUUCUUCGCGAUACUCGAAAACCAGUGGCCCUGAUGGCAUUGGUGACUAAAAUCUUCCCUGGAAGUGACGGAAAGAUCAAGAAGUUUGAGCUCAAGUAAUGGUGUCGAUCCCGGACUACAGGGGUAUGAGGAGCCGAGGAGCACGAUGGGCUGGCCUGCUAGAGGAGGUCGAGGAUGAACCGAUGGAUGGUUGGACCUGUGGACGGUUGGAGCGGUGGACGGUUGGUCCUGUGGACGGUUGAACGGUGGACGGUUGGUUCUGUGGACGGUUGGAGCGGUGGACGGUGGGGCCUGUGGACGGUUGGACCGGUGGACGGUUGGUUCUGUGGACGGUUGGAGCGGUGGACGGUUGGGCCUGUGGAUGGUUGGACCGGUGGACGGUUGGGCCUGUGGACGAUUUUACCUUUGGACCGUUGGACCGGUGGACGAUUUUACCUGUGGACCGUUGGACCGGUGGACCGUUGGACCUGAGGGGUGUAUGUAGGGCCAGUCUGGGCACACGGCAGCCUGGGAUGGCCUCAGGCCCCUGAAGGAGGGCAGGAGAGCAGCUGGAUCAGAAGUUUGGCAGCCAUUUGUCUUUGCCUGUAGCAGUUUUUUGAGCUAUUCUUGAGGUGGGAGUCUAGUUACGUGUCCCAGGUGUUGACUUCCCUGGAAGGGGGAGGAGCCUAAUUUUGUCCGGAGUGAAGCUUCAGUUGGUUUGACGGAUGUAAACUAAGCUGUAGAAAGAUGUGCUUGUGAGGUUGUGUUGUAGGGGAGGCUCCUGAUUAAGACACACAGCUUUCUGUUACACUGUGAGGCCACCUGGG